ensembl:lncRNA
CUCGUUUACGUCGGAUCUGCUGCUGCUGCUGCCGCCUCCUUCUCUCCUCGGACACAAGCUACUGCUCCUGCUCGGUACCAGGUCUGUGCAAAGCGGUCAGCAGGGGUCAUGAGGGCGGCGGAGGCUCGUGGCGCUGUGAGGAGCAGCUGAGGCAGACAUGGCACCCAUCGGAUCCGCGUCAACGACCUUACCAGCCACUUCCUGCUUCGCCUCAAUCACCGCGGGCAACCAAACGCGUUCUCUGCGCUUGUUGUCACCUCCCACUAAACGUUUGCGAUGAGAAUGUCCGAUUCGGUCGACUGUGAAGCAAUGAAGGUUUCCGAGGACCGAGUGUCGUCCCCCAAAGACAACAGCGCCACCACCAGGCCAGACCAAGCCACUGACAGCCAGAGCAUGAGCCGCGAUGAGCACGGCCCCAACAACAAGAGGGAGACGCAGCCUGUGAAGCACUCCAAGUCCAACAGCAGGCUAAAGCUCGUCAGGAGCCUGGCCGUUUGUGAAGAGUCCUUCCCCUGUCCCAUUACUGAGCCCGCAACUGCUCCUCAGG